UGCACAGCCUAGGAGCUGAAGUCAGGGAACUUGCUCCAAAUGUAAAGCAGCAUCCAGGAAAAGCACUGCUGAAAGCUGAUUUGUAGUAUAUUGAUCUGAAUGGUAUUUACACCUGAGUGCAACUGCCUUGAA
rnacentral:lncRNA from 1 species